UGUAGUUGAGGUCAGGCUGUCCCUGUUAGAUUUAACCAUGGAGACAUCCCCCCUUGAUGUAUAACCUUCAUUUCCCCCCUCUUUAACCUUAAUUGUUUGUUCUCCUAGCACCUACUUGUUGUAAAACUCAAUCAUAUACAACAAAGAGGUUACUAACACAUAAUCAGUCACGUAGUUGGGAGGUAUAAAACUGGGCCUCUCAGAAACAUCAGGGUCCUUGUUGGGAACUGAUUCCCCUUGGACCCACUGGCAUAAUAAACUGUACUCCACUGUCUUGAGUGUCCUCUGACAUGUGUUUUUGACUUCAGAUUCCACAGCAUUUCUGGUGCAUCGGCCAGGAAGCCGUUGGAGAGACAGGCCCAUUGAGCCUCUGCCUGCCACUCACUGGGAUGAGAGCCUCUGGGAGGAGAAGGUGCCUCCCACUCCAGAUCAGCUUUGUUUUAGUGACUUAUCCUUCCAGGUGGACUUCACAAGACUGUGGGCAACAGAAGGGAAGCGUGCAGAUUCACCACACCCAGCUCAAGAUAGCAGCGGAGGAAAAGGGACCUUGGACUGUCCAUCCUGACCUGAAGGAAUCACUGAAGACCCGACUUGUCUUCCAUCAGUGGCCACAGAUUCAGGAUGUAGCCGCUGCGAAUAAUUCUGCUGUUCCUGAUCAGCAGGAUGACCCUUCCAGGACUGCAAACUCAGGAUAAUGUGUUCCUGUCCUGGGCCCACUCAUAUACAAACUUCCAUAAUACUUCUAACUGUUAGGCUUGUGGGGCCAUGCCUUUGUCAGUGAUGGAUGGACUUCCUUCAUGGGUGUCUCCCGUAUGCAGAGCGGACUUUAGCUCCCUCUGCUCAUUUUUGAGACAGCAAUGAGAGGCGUUUGCUUCCUUGAUAACUACAACCUGUCACUUCUUACUUGCUGUAACCUGGACUUUAAUCAAAUUGAUUAAGGCCAUGAGGUGACAUUUGAGGUAAACGCAAGCCUUACAAAAGUGACCAAAGCCUAUACUUUUUACUUAAAAAAAAAAAAAAGAAUGAGAACUCAAUGGCUAGUCAGAAGGGCAAUCCAUCAGGUACUCUGAACAAUUUUACCAUA
rnacentral:lncRNA from 1 species